UACGUAGGUGGCAAGCGAUACUCGGAAUCACUAGGCGUAAAGCGCAGGUAGGCGGUUUGGUAAGUCUUUUGUGAAAGCUCCUGGCUCAACUGGGAGAGGUCAAGGGAAACUACCGGACUAGAGUGUGGUAGGGGAGACUGGAAUUCCUGGUGUAGCGGUGAAAUGCGUAGAUAUCAGGAGGAAUACCUAUGGCGAAAGCAGGUAUCUGGGCCAUCACUGACGCUGAGCUGCGAAAGCGAGGGGAGCAAACAGG
rnacentral:rRNA from 1 species